rnacentral:rRNA from 1 species
UGAGUGGCGAACUGGUGAGUAACACGUGGGAAACCUGCCCAGAAGCGGGGGAUAACACCUGGAAACAGAUGCUAAUACCGCAUAACAACUUGGACCGCAUGGUCCGAGCUUGAAAGAUGGCUUCGGCUAUCACUUUUGGAUGGUCCCGCGGCGUAUUAGCUAGAUGGUGGGGUAACGGCUCACCAUGGCAAUGAUACGUAGCCGACCUGAGAGGGUAAUCGGCCACAUUGGGACUGAGACACGGCCCAAACUCCUACGGGAGGCAGCAGUAGGGAAUCUUCCACAAUGGACGAAAGUCUGAUGGAGCAACGCCGCGUGAGUGAAGAAGGGUUUCGGCUCGUAAAACUCUGUUGUUAAAGAAGAACAUAUCUGAGAGUAACUGUUCAGGUAUUG